rnacentral:lncRNA from 1 species
CGGGGCGGGCGCCGAGAGAGGGAGGGCGCGGGGUGAGGAAUGGCGUGGGGCGGGCGCGUGGAGAGCGAAAGUGUGGGACGAAGGCGCAAGCAGAGAUGGAUUUGAGGAGUCUAGUGGGAGUGUCUGAACUGAGGACUCUGAGCUUUGUCCUGCCCAAGGACUUGGACUUGGUCACUCUGACUCCAAACCGGUGCUGGAACGCAGCACUCCAGGGCUCUCCAGAGAGAAUUCCAGACCUUCCCUGAGUUGCUUCUCAUGUGGCCACAGGACCCCCGUUCACCUCUAUAAGGUGAGUCACUUCUAUCUUCCCCGCAGGGCUCCAUGCAGGAGCCUCAAGGCACUACCAUCAGAGAAGCACCAGCUCAGUGAGUGGUUCCGUUGCGUUUGGCGUGGUUUGCUCUGAAAGCCUGAUGUCCCUCCUACAGCCCCUCCCUGUUAGGACCAUGCUUCCCACCCACUGACAGCGGGUUUGGCAACUGACUUGUUUUGGCCAAAGGAAUCUGAGUGGAAGUACCAUGUGCCUCUUCCAAGUGGAACAUAAGGAGCCAUCAUGUGGUUCUCCCAUUGCUCUUUUUCUCUCGCCUGGGAGACUGGUAGGUCCCACAGACUGACUGCUUCUGAAUCCUGAGACCCUAAGUGCACAGAGCUGAGGCCAGCUUGCAGUGGACUUUAGACGCAGGUGAGAAAUAAUCCUUUGCUGUCAUACAGCACUGAGAGUUGGGAUUGUUUGUUUCAGCAACAUCUCUUAGCCCACGCUGACUGAUACAAGCACAACAGACCAGGGGUGAUUGUUGGUUUCUCACCGUCUCCCCGGAAGGAAGAGGCAUCCAUCAGGCUUAGUAUACAUAGUGAAUUAGGAAGAGAAAUUCUCCAAAUUUCAGAAGCACAGGAGGGGACCAAGGACCGUGGCUGGGAGUGUCACUGCCAGGAGUGAAGGAGCAGAGGGAGGGGUGGGCAGGUGGAAACCCUGGAUGUUCUGGGCUGAAGACCUAGAGGGACCCAGUGAUGCUGCGUUCUUGGCAGUGUUUCAGUGUAAAAAUAGUAUCAUUACUUAUCUUCCAAGUCCUUCUUUUUUCAUUUUAAAAAAUAUUUCUUUAUUUAUUUGACUGUGCCGGGUCUUAGUUGCAGCUUGAGGGAUAUUUUCUUUUUUAGUUGUGACAUGCAAACUCUUAAUGGCAGAAUGUGGGAUCUAUUUCCCUGACCAGGGACCAAACCGAGGUCCCCUGCAUUAGGAUCAGAGUCUUAGCCACUGGCUCAGCAGGGAAGUCCCCUAAGUCUUUCAGUAAUAAUGAAAUUUUGUGAG